GUAUGAUUUGGACCAGUUUGUAAGCAGAUGGGUUUUGUUUGUUUAUUCUAAGUAUUUGUUUAAGGGCCAUUUAUUUUCUUUUUUUCUGGAACUCAAACUGACUUGGGAUCUUGAGUCCCCCUUUCCUGGCCUUCUGAGUGCUGCUGGGAUUACAGCCCUUCUUCCUUCAGUUUGUUUAUGUGAUGUUUACACUGACUGGUUUUCCUAUGUUGAACCAUCCCUCCCUCCAUCUCGAGGAUGAGGGCUUCUUGUCAUGGUGAUGAUCGUUUUGAUGUGUUCUUGAAUUCAGCUUGUGAGUAUUUUAUUAUUUAUUGCAUCCCUGUUCAUAAGGGAACUUGGUUAUUUUUCUCUCCAUCUUUUUUUUUUUUUUUUUUUUUUUGGUUGUUGAAUCCUUGUGUAGUUUGGGUAUUGGUGUGAUUGUGGCCUCGUAAAAUUUGUUUGGCUAUAUUCCUUCUGUUUCUAUUUUGUGGAAUUAAUUUGAGGAGUAUUGGUGUUAGCCCUUCCUUGAAAGUCUGAUAGAAUUAUUUGCUGAAAUCUUCUGGCCCUGAGAUUUUUUUGGCUAGAAGACUUUUAAUGACUGCUUCUAUUUCCUUAGGGGUUAUAGAUUAUUUAAGUUGCUUAUCUGAUCUUGAUUUAACUUUUUAAGUGAUAUCUAUCAAAAUUAUCCAUUUUAGAUUUUCCAGUUUUAUGUAAUAUAGAUUUUUAAAGUAUAACCCAAUGACUCUUUGAAUUUCCUUGGUGUCAGUUGGUAUGUUGUGUUUUCAUUUUCAUUGAAUUCUAGAAAGUCUUUAAUUUCUUUAUUUCUGUCUUAUCCAGUAGUUAAUCAAUAUAGAGUUGUUUAGUUUCUAUGAGUUUAUAGAUGUUGUUGUUGUUGAAAUCCAGUUUUAUUCUGUAGUAGUCUGAUAGGAUGCAGAGUUAUUUAAGUUUUUUUUUGUAUCUGUUCAGUCUUGCUUUGUUCCAUGGGGUGCUGAGAAGAAGGUAUUCUUUCGUGUUUGGGUGAAAUGUUCUUUAGAUAUGCUAGGUCCAUUUAACUUAUAACAACUUUAGCUUCAGUAUUUAUCUGUUUAGUUUUUGUCUGGGCAAUCUGUCUUUUGGUUGGGAGUGGGAUAUUGAAGUCUCCCACUCUCAGUGUGUGAGAAUCAGUGUGUGUUUUAAGCUUUCUUGUUUCUUUUACAAACCUGGGUGCUCUUUGCAUUGGGAGCAUGGUAAGAAUUGAAACAUCAUCAUGGUGGAUUUUUCCUUUGAUGAGUAUGAAGCUUCUUUCCCCAUCUCUUGAUUCAUUUUGGUGAAGCAAUGUCAAUCUUUGAUGUUGAGGUGUGUUUCUUGUAUGCACCAGCAAGAUGAAUCCUGUUUUCCCAUUCAUUCUGUUAGUCUGUGUCUUUUUUUAUUGGGGAAUUGAAACCAUUGGUAUUAAGAGAUAUGAGUGACCAAUGAUAGUUAAUUCAGUUAUUUUAGUGAUGGGAGUGGUGGAUAUAUGUGUGUGUUUCCCUGCUCUUAGUUUUGCUGGUGUGAAAGUAUUGAUUUCCUGUGUUCUCAUGGGUGUGGUUAACUACUUGGAUUGAAGUUUUUCUUCUCCCUUCUGUAGGACUGGAUUUAUAGAUGCAUAUUGUUUAAAUUUUACUUUAUCAUAGAAUACUUUUUAAAAAACAUUUUAUUCAUUCAUUUUGAGUUUCACACCAUGUACCCCAGUCCUGCUCAUCUACCUGUCCCCUCAUAUCCCCCCUUUGCCCUUGCGUUGCCCCUCCCAAAUAAAACAAGCC
rnacentral:lncRNA from 1 species